UGGGGAAUUUUGGACAAUGGGCGACAGUGAUCCAGCAAUGCCGCGUGAGUGAAGAAGGCCUUCGGGUUGUAAAGCUCUUUUGUCAGGGAAGAAACGGUGGUUUCCAAUACAGAUCACUAAUGACGGUACCUGAAGAAUAAGCACCGGCUAACUACGUG
rnacentral:rRNA from 1 species